rnacentral:tRNA from 1 species
GGAGAGGUGGUCGAGCGGCCGAAGGCACCGCGCUUGAAACGCGGCGAUGAGCAAUCAUCCGUGGGUUCGAAUCCCACCCUCUCCGCCA